GGUUAAGCGACUAAGCGUACACGGUGGAUGCCCUGGCAGUCAGAGGCGAUGAAGGACGUGCUAAUCUGCGAAAAGCGUCGGUAAGGUGAUAUGAACCGUUAUAGCCGGCGAUGUCCGAAUGGGGAAACCCAGUGCAAUUCGUUGCACUAUCGUUUGAUGAAUACAUAGUCAAACGAGGCGAACCGGGGGAACUGAAACAUCUAAGUACCCCGAGGAAAAGAAAUCAACCGAGAUUCCCCCAGUAGCGGCGAGCGAACGGGGAGCAGCCCGGAGUCUGAAUCAGCUUGUGUGUUAGUGGAAGCGUCUGGAAAGUCGCAGGGUACAGGGUGAUACUCCCGUACACUAAAGCACACAGGUUGUGAACUCGAAGAGUAGGGCGGGACACGUGGUAUCCUGUCUGAAUAUGGGGGGACCAUCCUCCAAGGCUAAAUACUCCUGACUGACCGAUAGUGAACCAGUACCGUGAGGGAAAGGCGAAAAGAACCCCGGCGAGGGGAGUGAAAAAGAACCUGAAACCGUGUACGUACAAGCAGUAGGAGCCUCUUUAUGGGGUGACUGCGUACCUUUUGUAUAAUGGGUCAGCGACUUAUAUUCUGUAGCAAGGUUAACCGUAUAGGGGAGCCGCAGGGAAACCGAGUCUUAACUGGGCGUUAAGUUGCAGGGUAUAGACCCGAAACCCGGUGAUCUAGCCAUGGGCAGGUUGAAGGUUGGGUAACACUAACUGGAGGACCGAACCGACUAAUGUUGAAAAAUUAGCGGAUGACUUGUGGCUGGGGGUGAAAGGCCAAUCAAACCGGGAGAUAGCUGGUUCUCCCCGAAAGCUAUUUAGGUAGCGCCUCGUGAAUUCAUCUUCGGGGGUAGAGCACUGUUUCGGCUAGGGGUCAUCCCGACUUACCAACCCGAUGCAAACUACGAAUACCGAAGAAUGUUAUCACGGGAGACACACGGCGGGUGCUAACGUCCGUCGUGAAGAGGGAAACAACCCAGACCGCCAGCUAAGGUCCCAAAGUCAUGGUUAAGUGGGAAACGAUGUGGGAAGGCCCAGACAGCCAGGAUGUUGGCUUAGAAGCAGCCAUCAUUUAAAGAAAGCGUAAUAGCUCACUGGUCGAGUCGGCCUGCGCGGAAGAUGUAACGGGGCUAAACCAUGCACCGAAGCUGCGGCAGCGACACUAUGUGUUGUUGGGUAGGGGAGCGUUCUGUAAGCCGUUGAAGGUGGCCUGUGAGGGUUGCUGGAGGUAUCAGAAGUGCGAAUGCUGACAUAAGUAACGAUAAUGCGGGUGAAAAACCCGCACGCCGGAAGACCAAGGGUUCCUGUCCAACGUUAAUCGGGGCAGGGUGAGUCGACCCCUAAGGCGAGGCCGAAAGGCGUAGUCGAUGGGAAACAGGUUAAUAUUCCUGUACUCGGUGUUACUGCGAAGGGGGGACGGAGAAGGCUAUGUUGGCCGGGCGACGGUUGUCCCGGUUUAAGCAUGUAGGCGGACGUUCCAGGUAAAUCCGGAACGUUACUAACGCUGAGGUGUGAUGACGAGGCACUACGGUGCUGAAGUGACAAAUGCCCUGCUUCCAGGAAAAGCCUCUAAGCAUCAGGUAACAUCAAAUCGUACCCCAAACCGACACAGGUGGUCAGGUAGAGAAUACCAAGGCGCUUGAGAGAACUCGGGUGAAGGAACUAGGCAAAAUGGUGCCGUAACUUCGGGAGAAGGCACGCUGAUAGGUAGGUGAAGUGGUUUACCCAUGGAGCUGAAAUCAGUCGAAGAUACCAGCUGGCUGCAACUGUUUAUUAAAAACACAGCACUGUGCAAACACGAAAGUGGACGUAUACGGUGUGACGCCUGCCCGGUGCCGGAAGGUUAAUUGAUGGGGUUAUCCGUAAGGAGAAGCUCUUGAUCGAAGCCCCGGUAAACGGCGGCCGUAACUAUAACGGUCCUAAGGUAGCGAAAUUCCUUGUCGGGUAAGUUCCGACCUGCACGAAUGGCGUAAUGAUGGCCAGGCUGUCUCCACCCGAGACUCAGUGAAAUUGAACUCGCUGUGAAGAUGCAGUGUACCCGCGGCAAGACGGAAAGACCCCGUGAACCUUUACUAUAGCUUGACACUGAACACUGGUCCUUGAUGUGUAGGAUAGGUGGGAGGCUUUGAAGUGUGGACGCCAGUCUGCAUGGAGCCAUCCUUGAAAUACCACCCUUUAAUGGCUGGUGUUCUAACGUGGGCCCGUUAUCCGGGUUGCGGACAGUGUCUGGUGGGUAGUUUGACUGGGGCGGUCUCCUCCUAAAGAGUAACGGAGGAGCACGAAGGUCAGCUAAUCCUGGUCGGACAUCAGGAGGUUAGUGCAAUGGCAUAAGCUGGCUUGACUGCGAGCGUGACGGCGCGAGCAGGUGCGAAAGCAGGUCAUAGUGAUCCGGUGGUUCUGAAUGGAAGGGCCAUCGCUCAACGGAUAAAAGGUACUCCGGGGAUAACAGGCUGAUACCGCCCAAGAGUUCAUAUCGACGGCGGUGUUUGGCACCUCGAUGUCGGCUCAUCACAUCCUGGGGCUGAAGUAGGUCCCAAGGGUAUGGCUGUUCGCCAUUUAAAGUGGUACGCGAGCUGGGUUUAGAACGUCGUGAGACAGUUCGGUCCCUAUCUGCCGUGGGCGCUGGAGAAUUGAGGGGGCUGCUCCUAGUACGAGAGGACCGGAGUGGACGCAUCACUGGUGUUCGGGUUGUCAUGCCAAUGGCAUUGCCCGGUAGCUAAAUGCGGAAGAGAUAAGUGCUGAAAGCAUCUAAGCACGAAACUUGCCCCGAGAUGAGUUCUCCCUGACUCCUUGAGAGUCCUGAAGGAACGUUGAAGACGACGACGUUGAUAGGCCGGGUGUGUAAGCGCAGCGAUGCGUUGAGCUAACCGGUACUAAUGAACCGUGAGGCUUAACCUU
rnacentral:rRNA from 1 species